rnacentral:rRNA from 1 species
CCGUAGCCCAAGAGAUCGGGAUAACACCUGGAAACAGAUGCUAAUACCGGAUAACAACAGAUGAUGCCUAUCAACUGUUUAAAAGAUGGUUCUGCUAUCACUCUUGGAUGGACCUGCGGUGCAUUAGCUAGUUGGUAGGGUAACGGCCUACCAAGGCGAUGAUGCAUGCCGAGUUGAGAGACUGAUCGGCCACAUUGGGACUGAGACACGGCCCAAACUCCUACGGGAGGCAGCAGC